GAUGAACGCUGGCGGCGUGCCUAAUACAUGCAAGUCGAGCGAACAGACGAGGAGCUUGCUCCUCUGAUGUUAGCGGCGGACGGUGAGUAACACGUGGAUAACCUACCUAUAAGACUGGGAUAACUUCGGGAAACCGGAGCUAAUACCGGAUAACAUGUUUAACCGCAUGGUUCAACAGUGAAAGACGGUCUUGCUGUCACUUAUAGAUGGAUCCGCGCCGCAUUAGCUAGUUGGUAAGGUAACGGCUUACCAAGGCAACGAUGCGUAGCCGACCUGAGAGGGUGAUCGGCCACACUGGAACUGAGACACGGUCCAGACUCCUACGGGAGGCAGCAGUAGGGAAUCUGCCGCAAUGGGCGAAAGCCUGACGGAGCAACGCCGCGUGAGUGAAGAAGGUCUUCGGAUCGUAAAACUCUGUUAUUAGGGAAGAACAAAUGUGUAAGUAACUAUGCACGUCUUGACAGUACCUAAUCAGAAAGCCACGGCUAACUACGUG
rnacentral:rRNA from 1 species